rnacentral:tRNA from 1 species
GCCCUGGUACUCCAACGGCAGAGAGAGCGCUCUCAAACAGCGUCAAGUGUGGGUUCGAAUCCCACCCAGGGCA